CGCGAAGGACCGGAGCUUGAGACGUGCUGGGGAGCUGGGCUUGGCGGCUCGCGCUCUGCCGUGGCUAAGGGCAUUCCUGGCGGGGGAGUCGGCCUGCGAGGCCGGGAGGACCCCACCUGGAGCUCGGAGUCCCCUGCAGCUGCGCUGAGUGCGGGUCUCUGUUCCUCUCCAAGAAGACGACUCUGGCCCCGAGCCCAGCCCUGAGCUCCCUGCUACGGCCACGGCUGCUGAGCCUGCUGAACACGCCUGGCGCAGGUGUCCAAGCCCUGCUGUCGCCGCGACCCCCACCACAGCCAGCCACCUGGAGGACAAGGGAACGCGGGAACAGCGCGGCAGAAGGUGGCCGCCACCCUAGGAGGGCGGCGUGCGGAAGCG